GUAGCCGUGGCCCGAGCGGUCUAAAGCGCUGGUUUUAAGCACCAGUCAUUUCGAUGGCGUGGGUUCGAAUCCCACCGCUGGCA
rnacentral:tRNA from 1 species